GCUCUGUAGCUCAGUCGGUAGAGCAAAGGACUGAAAAUCCUUGUGUCGCCAGUUCGAUUCUGGCUGGAGCCA
rnacentral:tRNA from 1 species